GUCCUGCGGUGCCUCUCCUCUCGUUGACUCCCCCGUCCGCCGGCCACCUCGACUUCGUGUUUCCUCUCGUCGACUCCUCCGUCUGACGCCGGCCACCUUGACUUCGUCCGUUCGCCAUGCCUCCCCUAUUAUCCGCGCCUCUCGUCAUUAUCCCUCUCUAUCAUCUUGUGAUUUGGGGUACUUAUCUCUCUCCUUUUCAACAUUCAAACCUAGGGUUUCAAAUUUUUUCUUUUUCUCUAUUUAAUGAAAAUUUUAUUUGAUUUUACAAAUUAGGGCUUUGUUGUCUCAGUUGAUCAUUGAAAGUGGUUGAAAAUUCUACAUCCUUACUGGACAAGUUAAUCCUCAAAAUUGAAUUUGUAUAUGUUUUUAAUUUUUGUUUAAAUUAAUUUACUUUCUCUAUUUAUUCUGUUUAUGCUCUUCUCUAUAGCCUUCUGUGCCAGGAACAUCACAUAUAUCAACCAGUUUCAUAUUGCAUCGAUUGCCCAAGAUUGAAGCUGAUGAAGAACUAUUGGUCUCUGAGACCCAAGAAUUCAUUAGUGAUAAAAACUCAUAAAAGUAGCAGUUGGCGCAGAGAACUGAAAAAUGGUGAUCAAAGUCAAGUUCGCCCACCUGUUGCAUUUGCUUCGGUUGCUCCUUUCCCUUUCUUGCCUGCUCCUUUGUAUGUUUCCCCAGAUUCAUGAGUGAACAUAAACUUUUGAUUGAGAACCAGUCAAGAAAAAGAGGCAGAACAAAUAAAUGGACGGGAGCUCAAAAGCACAGCAAGGACUUUACUGAUUGGUUUAAAACUAGAGUAUCUAAGUUGGAAUCAGCAUCAGAGUGGUAGUUUUUUUAUUAGAUAGCAGACCUAAGCUUAUCGCCGGUUCAGUAGCAGGAUACACUGGCCAUGUUGAUGGGAGACCACGAGAAGGAAGGAUGAACCAUAAACUUUCCUUGUGAUGAUACACAAGCUAUUUUCCUUUAGCCAGCUAUCUUGGUUUGUAAGGCAUAAAUUGCUCAUUGCAUUAUUU